GGGGCCGAUUUGGUUUCGACGGGAAUAGUAGAGCAUAGAUGGCAGGUCGAAUGUCCACGUCACGGGCACAAAAAAAUAAAUGCUGAAAAGUUAACAAAUUUUGUUGGUAACAUGUUUGGUGGAAACCAAGCUGUUGCAUUUGCCUAAUAAUAAUAUAAAGGUCAACACUUCUUAUAAUCUUACCUAGGGAUUAUAUAGAGGGUCAUUUUAAUAGGUUAUAGCUAUCUUUUGUCUAGAAGAUAGAAAGAAUAUUCAGACUGGUAUAUUUUCUUGGUCGUUAACUACUUGGAAAGUAUAUGAGAAUAACUAGUUAACUAAGCUUGUAGAAGUUUAUGUAGCUCUAUUUUCGGACAGGAGUUCGAUUCUCCUCGGUUCCACCA
rnacentral:tmRNA from 1 species